CGACCCUCAAGUAUAACUUGGUGUUGGGUGUAGUCCCUUAAUAGGGGACUCACCCCUAACUCGUAGGCGGUCAUGGCCAUUUUUCCCCAGCGUAGCAAGCUAACGCACUCGCUCGGGAAUAGGCUGUUUGACUCGCUAAAUAAAAACCCUUUUUUAAAG
rnacentral:misc_RNA from 1 species